UUUCCGUAGGUGAACCUGCGGAAGGAUCAUUAACGAGUUAGGGUCCUCCAGGCCCGACCUCCCAACCCUAUGUUUAUUGAACCUCUGUUGCUUCGGCGGACCCGCCUCACGGCCGCCGGAGGACCGCUGCAAGGCGUCCUCUGGCCAGCGUCCGCCGAUGGCCAACCACUUAAACUCUGAAUGAAUCGUGUCAUAUGUCUAAGUCUAUGAUUAAAUUAAAGCAAAACUUUCAACAACGGAUCUCUUGGUUCUG
rnacentral:misc_RNA from 1 species